rnacentral:lncRNA from 1 species
UUCUUCAAGGGUUUGAGUGAUAAGCUAAGUAAAGCACUCUGUUUGAAGUGCAGUAGAACCACUACUCCUACUACUACUACUACUAGUACAGCAGCAGGACCACCCAUUAUUGAUGAUGUUCAUAGAGAAGAGGCAAUAGAUGACUGCAUUCAGUUCAUCAACCACUCUUCUUCUUCUUCUUCCUCUUCCUUGCCUCGAUCCAAUUCUGUUUCUGUGUGUAACUCUUCUACCAGCUGCUAACCAAAUAAUGCUGAUAAAUUGGAUAUAAAAUUAUGUGGCAAGUGGCAACAAUUUCAGUCAAGGAUAGCCAAACAUAUACAACAGUAACAUAGAAAACAGAGAGGGAAGAGGAGGGAAGCAAAAGCUUUUAUGGCAUAUGCUUCAUGUUUACACAUUUUUAUUACAAAUAAAUACAAACUCAUUUCUUGGCGAAUAGGCCGC